rnacentral:rRNA from 1 species
UACGAAGGGGGCUAGCGUUGUUCGGAAUUACUGGGCGUAAAGCGCACGUAGGCGGACUAUUAAGUCAGGGGUGAAAUCCCGGGGCUCAACCCCGGAACUGCCUUUGAUACUGGUAGUCUCGAGUCCGGAAGAGGUGAGUGGAAUUCCGAGUGUAGAGGUGAAAUUCGUAGAUAUUCGGAGGAAUACCAGUGGCGAAGGCGGCUUCCUGGACCAGAACUGACGAUCAGGCACGAAAGCGUGGGGAGCAAACAGG